GACAUAGCUCAGUUGGAUAGAGCAUGGUGCUAACACUAAGGUUGCAGGUUCAGUCCCUGUAUAGGACAGCUGCA